AACACAUCCCCGCAUCGGUUCCUAUACGCAAUAUCACUAAGCCAGUACAAGUCUUACACUGCUAAAACCACCUACUCCUUUAACCCACACCCAAACCCUAGCAUAUAAAAGCAUAUCUUCCUCUUCAUCUCUUUAUUCUUUCUUCAAACCCUAGCCCCCACCUUCAAUAUCUCUAAAAAACACAAACACCUCUCCAUUAUCCUAGAGUGCAAGCCGAGAAAGUGAAAGAGUCAAAGGAGAGGGACAGGCGUUGUGGAGCGACGGCGUUCGGUGGACGACCACCUGGCCACGGUGGCGCCCCGGCUGUAGAUGAUGGCGGUGGAGGUGGUUAUUAGCAGGGGAUGACGGCGUUUUGGUGGCAGAAGGACUUAGGGGUGCGGAUGGAGUCGCGGGUGAGUGGGUGACAGUUGGUAGGCGUGAUUUUUAUGCGGUUAGGAGACAGUGGUGGUUGUUUUUCUGGACUGGGUGUUUUAUGGCAUUUUCAACUAGGUAUUUUUCAUGGCGUUUUUAAGAACUUGGUGUUUUAUGGCGUUUUCAACUGGGUAUUUUUCAUUGCGUUUUUCUGAACUUUGUGUUUUUAUGGCAUUUUAAUUGAACACCCAGUUCAUGUCAUUUUUUAAUGCAAAAGUAUAGCAAUAGUAUAUUCGUUGGAAAGAUAAUAAAAAACUCGAUUUUAUGGUGUAACAUUCAAAAAAAUAAUCACGUAUAGAAAAGUUAUGAGAGUUUAAAAAAGAUGGUGGAAUAUGCAUGUGACUUACAUGCGCAUGGUCUUUGGCAUGUUAUGGUAACAACUCAUCAACUUUGAAUGUUGGUCAAACAUCUAACCCAAACACUAUUCAUUUAAAUACAUCAAGCUUUUCUAAAGUAAGUGUAGAAGUUACAAAGGAGCAUAUGGAACUUCUAAACACUUUAGUAAGUGCAUAUUGCAGAUUAGUUGCAUGUCAAAUUGGUAAUAUCAAUUUGACACAUGGCAGCAAUUUGACAAAGAUGAGAUGGAAUAGAUGGACAUCAAGUGGGCCUUUGCAAGCGCAAUACGACGAGCAAAAGAUUUCAUGGAAAGAAUGGGUAGAACGAGUUUGGAAAGCAAGAAAGAUACAAAGUACAGGUUUGAUUAACAAGCAGCUAGAUUCUUAAAUUGUGGAGAGAGCGGUCACUUCAAGCGAGAGUGUACAAAUCCGGCACAGCAGGGAAACCACAAUCCAUUUAGAAACCGAAUAAAUCAGUCAAACCAGAACACCAACCCUUACCCAGCCAACAAUGUCGAACGUGCAAUAAUACAUGUCAACAAUUCAAAUCAAGCUGAUCCUCAAAUGCAAACAAGACUAGAGCCUUGGUCGUGCAAGGGGAUGAGCUAGAGUUGUGAUUGGUCGGUGCAGCUAGGUAGCGGUGGUCAAGGUGGAACAACUUGUUAUGCUAAAGUGAUCAAGCAUGUUUUGUAUGGUGAUUCUUUAGAAGAUGAAAAAAGUCCCGGGUUUAGUGGAAGCUCUGAUGAGGAAAGUUCAAACUCAGGUGAAGAUGGUCCAGAAAAAAGCAUCGAGGGAAAUUAUUGAUGCAUAUGUUGCAAAAUUGUUGGAUGAAGAUGAGUAAUGAAUAGCAGGAGAUCAAUCUUGGUGACAAAAGCAGUUGAUGCUUCUAAUGAAAUAUCAAGAUGUGUCUCUGUAGAUGGAUCGUUUUCUCAUCAUUCUACUUUCAUGGCUCACGUGGAAGGUCAAUCAAGUCAAGUCAGAUUAUAAUGUUACAAAGGCAGCCGCGCAGCCGUAGACAAUUACCUGGAUGUUAAAAUCGUGUUCAUUUGAUGUUAGGCCUUCUGAUAUCGCAAAACUGGGUAUUGAAGAUUGAUCGUUGACUGUUUAUGGGAUUUCGGAAGCCAAUCUCGUUAGGCUAUAAUAUUCUACAGACUCAGCCAUCAGACAACCAAGAUGGCCACUGCUUUAUCGUCCAACUUUGAUAAAAUCAGGCCUCCUGAUAUGCCAAAAUCAUCAGGUGUUGAAUAACCAACAUUGACCGUUCAUGUAAUUUGUAAUUUCGGAAGACAAUCUCCUUAGGUAACUGCUAGUUAGGCAAUCAAACUUUGUAUUCACCUUAGCUACCUCUUAAUUAGAUGUGUUACAAAUGAUGUUUUUUUACUUAAAUUUUGAGCCGAUUUUGUGUAUCUUAAAUUGAUUAUUUCUUGAACCA